rnacentral:rRNA from 1 species
GAUGAACGCUAGCGGCAGGCUUAAUACAUGCAAGUCGAGGGACAGCACAGGUAGCAAUACUGGGUGGUAACCGGCAAACGGGUGCGGAACACGUACACAACCUUCCUUUAAGUGGGGGAUAGCCCAGAGAAAUUUGGAUUAAUACCCCGUAAUAUAGUUGAAUGGCAUCAUUUGAUUAUUAUAGCUACGGCGCUUAAUGAUGGGUGUGCGGCUGAUUAGAUAGUUGGCGGGGUAACGGCCCACCAAGUCUACGAUCAGUAGCUGAUGUGAGAGCAAGAUCAGCCAAACGGGCAAUGAGACACGGGCCCGACUCCUACGGGAGGCAGCAGUAAGGAAUAUUGGUCAAUGGACGCAAGUCUGAACCAGCCAUGCCGCGUGAAGGAUUAAGGUCCUCUGGAUUGUAAACUUCUUUUAUUUGGGACGAAAAAGGGCCUUUCUAGGUCAACUGACGGUACCAGAUGAAUAAGCACCGGCUAACUCCGUGCCAGCAGCCGCAGUAACAC